rnacentral:lncRNA from 1 species
GGCCGAUGAAGAUUUUUAGAAAUAUGCCCAUUGUUCCUAGAUCUCGGUACAGCCACUCUGAAGUUGUGCUGUUUCUGUGUCCUCUACUUUGUUGAUAGGGUUCUUAUUCCUCAUUAAAGUUGUAAAUGAUACUCCGACUAGACAAUGGUUGACCGUGGCGGUGGCCUUAUUCUGAUACGUACCAAACGAAUAUUAUUUUCCCUAGCUAGCGACAAAACUCAAACAUUGUCAUUACUAAAGCUGUGAACUUUCGUGUCUCAAGAAAGUAUUUUGUACCGAAUUCAUGUGCUUCCAUAUCCCUGUAAACAUGGGCUCGCACGCUGUUCUGAAAUCUCUUCAUUUGUUGUACAACAUCCUUGCGUUGUUUGCAAUUGUAGCUGUGCCUGCAUUUGCCGCGCCCUUAACCCAAAGCAUACCUUGUAACCUACGGUUACAGAUUGACGUCGCAUUAGUUACGGACAUAGCUACGGACAUAGCCGACAAUCAGGUGGAUCCGUGCGGCCUAAUCAACUGAGGCAGCGUUCGAACUGCAUCUAGCGUCUUCCAGAAAUAAUAAAUUUGCCAAUUCUAUACCGAGUCAAUGUUCCCGCGAUAUUAGUAGAACAUAGGGGAAGCGAGCUUCAAUUGAGAAAAUACAGGAAAGUAGAAAUCUUUCCGGUCUGUGGUUUUGCAAUAUGCUUGGGACGCAUCAGCACUGAACACAUACGGUAUCAGAUGUUGAAAGACGGAGAAAGAAAUUGCAGAAAUUUGCCUGAAAUUAGAUUUAAAAAAUAGGCAAGCAUCAGCGUACUCUAGUGGCUGAUCUGCGAACUGUACUUUUUGCACCGGUCAGUAAUUUUUAUAAAAUUGUGGUAAGUGUAAAUUGCCCAUAUUACUACAAUAUUACUACAAUAUUACACAAAUAACGUUAAGACAGUAUUAUAUCAGCAAUAUUGUACAACCAAUAUUGUGCCAUCUUUGUGACAAUCUUAGUCAGCAAGCCAUGCCGGACCUUGGAUUUCUAAUAUUGCUAAUACGGUGCAAUAUUAGAAUAUUCAAGUUAUACAUUCAAUAUCGAUGGUUGUUGGCUCCUUACAAUCUCGCUGAGGUUACCACGAUAUUAUUUCAAUCAGCCCAAGGUCAAAUUUCCGAGUGGGGUAGGGCCCCCAAAAUAAAUAAUGAUCCUGGUGCCUAACCUCUCACGAACUGAAUCAUCUUAACUGGCAGCUGAACCCUGCAUAACCAUCCUAGGGCUCUGAGCGUGAAAUCUUUUGCUAUCCUUAAAUACCAUUGUACCUCCCCUCUUCCUGAAAAAAUGCUAUUAUGUCAAUAACUAUUUGUGUACUGCUGUCGUAUUCUUUCACUACUAACAUCGAGCAAUCUCUUAUCUUAAUGUCUUUUCUGCUUGUACUGAUAGUGUCUGACUCUCGACUGUCUCACGCACCUAAUCUAACCAUCUUUAUUAAUACUUUUUAUUCUAAUAUUUUUGUUUCGUUGUGGGGUAGGGGGGCAUGAUAAUUAAGAUACAAAUAUUACUAUAUAUCUAUAUUUCAUUUAACACUGUAUAUACAUACUAUAUAUCGUAAAAUUCAACAUAACCGUAAUGUACAGUCACUGUAGUUUCCGUAACGAUAGCUAGGGUUGGUGGCCAACAUCAGCCCACCCAUUAAUGUAAUUAGUUCUUAGUUUAGUUAUAAAAAUUAGUGGUAAUACAUUGUAGUUCUCUAACCUCUUAAUAAAGGAAAAAAAAAUUCUUUCACUCAAAUAUUGUUUUCAUUCAGGCUAGUAAGAAUUGGACUACUUCAAAUGAAUUAUAACAUAGUCCACCUUGGGAAUCUUGAAAACCAAAAAGAUUUUAGCCAUAAUGAAUAAUAUUUUUUGCAAAACCGAAAUGUUUCUACAGACCAAUCAUUAAGCGAUAUACCAACGGUGCAACUACCAGAUCUCGUAUUUUGGUAUGCGACGUUGCAGACUUCGUCGGCCCUCUGACGUAAGGGCGCAUCUUGAUAUCCACGUGAACCCUGUUGUCCAUAUAACUCCGUGCUGUCCAGGGCUCAUGUCGAAAUCGAGAUACGCCCUUACGUCAGAGGAACGACGACUUCUUGUCAUACUUUGUAUUGUAAAUUGAAAACCACUCAACGUCAAUUCUUGAAAACCUCUGUGAUUUUUCUUCUCUGCGCAGAGAAUACUCUGUGGAAACUUCAAAGCAUGAUAUUGAUUCCCUCUCCUUAAAUAAAUGAAGUGG